UACGUAGGCAGCGAGCGUUGUUCGGAAUUACUGGGCGUAAAGAGUGUGUAGGCGGUGCUCUAAGUUCGGUGUGAAAUCUCCCGGCUUAACUGGGAGGGUGCGCCGGAAACUGGAGUGCUCGAACGUGGGAGAGGAAAGCGGAAUUCCCGGUGUAGCGGUGAAAUGCGUAGAGAUCGGAAGGAACGCCAGUGGUGAAGACGACUACCUGGACCAAUACUGACACUGAGGCGCGAAAGCGUGGGGAGCAAACAGG
rnacentral:rRNA from 1 species